UCUUUCUUAGUUCAGUUGGUACUCUUUAUUGGGGAGCUUAGCGGCCUGUUAAUUCACAUGUCACUGGUUCAAGUCCAGUAGAGGGAGCCA
rnacentral:tRNA from 1 species